GUAGGCAAGUCUCACUCCCAUCCUUGUUAAACCACGAAUUAUGCUAACAAACUCAAAGGUGAACCUGCGGAAGGAUCAUUACUGAGUUAGGGUCCUCUGGGCCCGACCUCCAACCCUUUGUCUACAUUACCUCUUGUUGCUUCGGUGGGCCCGUUCCCUCUAGAAAUAGAGGACGACCGCCAGAGGGUUUACGCCCUCUGGCCCGCGCCCACCGAUGGCCCCAACCCAAAAACUCUUGUUUAACCAUGAC
rnacentral:misc_RNA from 1 species